CUAGCUACAGGCUUAACACAUGCAAGUCGAGGGGCAGCAUUUCAGUUUGCUUGCAAACUGGAGAUGGCGACCGGCGCACGGGUGAGUAACACGUAUCCAACCUGCCGAUAACUCGGGGAUAGCCUUUCGAAAGAAAGAUUAAUACCCGAUGGUAUAAUCAGACCGCAUGGUCUUGUUAUUAAAGAAUUUCGGUUAUCGAUGGGGAUGCGUUCCAUUAGGCAGUUGGUGAGGUAACGGCUCACCAAACCUUCGAUGGAUAGGGGUUCUGAGAGGAAGGUCCCCCACAUUGGAACUGAGACACGGUCCAAACUCCUACGGGAGGCAGCAGUGAGGAAUAUUGGUCAAUGGGCGCAGGCCUGAACCAGCCAAGUAGCGUGAAGGAUGACUGCCCUAUGGGUUGUAAACUUCUUUUAUAUGGGAAUAAAGUUUUCCACGUGUGGAAUUUUGUAUGUACCAUAUGAAUAAGGAUCGGCUAACUCCGUGCCAGCAGCCGCGGUAAUACGGAGGAUCCGAGCGUUAUCCGGAUUUAUUGGGUUUAAAGGGAGCGUAGGUGGACAGUUAAGUCAGUUGUGAAAGUUUGCGGCUCAACCGUAAAAUUGCAGUUGAUACUGGCUGUCUUGAGUACAGUAGAGGUGGGCGGAAUUCGUGGUGUAGCGGUGAAAUGCUUAGAUAUCACGAAGAACUCCGAUUGCGAAGGCAGCUCACUGGACUGCAACUGACACUGAUGCUCGAAAGUGUGGGUAUCAAACAGGAUUAGAUACCCUGGUAGUCCACACAGUAAACGAUGAAUACUCGCUGUUUGCGAUAUACAGUAAGCGGCCAAGCGAAAGCACUAAGUAUUCCACCUGGGGAGUACGCCGGCAACGGUGAAACUCAAAGGAAUUGACGGGGGCCCGCACAAGCGGAGGAACAUGUGGUUUAAUUCGAUGAUACGCGAGGAACCUUACCCGGGCUUAAAUUGCAUUUGAAUAUAUUGGAAACAGUAUAGCCGUAAGGCAAAUGUGAAGGUGCUGCAUGGUUGUCGUCAGCUCGUGCCGUGAGGUGUCGGCUUAAGUGCCAUAACGAGCGCAACCCUUAUCUUUAGUUACUAACAGGUCAUGCUGAGGACUCUAGAGAGACUGCCGUCGUAAGAUGUGAGGAAGGUGGGGAUGACGUCAAAUCAGCACGGCCCUUACGUCCGGGGCUACACACGUGUUGCAAUGGGGGGUACAGAAGGCAGCUACCUGGUGACAGGAUGCUAAUCCCAAAAGCCUCUCUCAGUUCGGAUCGAAGUCUGCAACCCGACUUCGUGAAGCUGGAUUCGCUAGUAAUCGCGCAUCAGCCAUGGCGCGGUGAAUACGUUCCCGGGCCUUGUACACACCGCCCGUCAAGCCAUGAAAGCCGGGGGUACCUGAAGUACGUAACCGCAAGGAGCGUCCUAGGGUAAAACUGGUAAUUGGG
rnacentral:rRNA from 1 species